rnacentral:rRNA from 1 species
GAUGAACGCUGGCGGCGUGCCUAAUACAUGCAAGUCGAGCGAACAGGCGAGGAGCUUGCUCCUCUGACGUUAGCGGCGGACGGGUGAGUAACACGUGGAUAACCUACCUAUAAGACUGGGAUAACUUCGGGAAACCGGAGCUAAUACCGGAUAAUAUAUUGAACCGCAUGGUUCAAUAGUGAAAGACGGUUUUGCUGUCACUUAUAGAUGGAUCCGCGCCGCAUUAGCUAGUUGGUAAGGUAACGGCUUGCCAAGGCGACGAUGCGUAGCCGACCUGAGAGGGUGAUCGGCCACACUGGAACUGAGACACGGUCCAGACUCCUACGGGAGGCAGCAGUAGGGAAUCUUCCGCAAUGGGCGAAAGCCUGACGGAGCAACGCCGCGUGAGUGAUGAAGGUCUUCGGAUCGUAAAACUCUGUUAUUAGGGAAGAACAAAUGUGUAAGUAACUAUGCACGUCUUGACGGUACCUAAUCAGAAAGCCACGGCUAACUACGUG